rnacentral:rRNA from 1 species
UGAAUACGAGAUGCUACGGCGUCGAAGCAGUCUAUGUCAUACUUCCAAGAAAAGCUCGCACUGUCAUAAACAAAUAAUGCCUGUACCAUAACCGACACAGGUGGGUAGGUAGAGUAUACUAAGGGGCGCGAGAUAACUCUCUCUAAGGAACUCGGCAAAAUGACUCCGUAACUUCGGGAGAAGGAGUGCCUUAUUUAUAAGGUUGCAAUAACAAGAUCCAAGCAACUGUUUAUCAAAAACACAGGUCUCCGCUAAGUCGUAAGACGAUGUAUGGGGGCUGACGCCUGCCCAGUGCCAGAAGGUUAAAGAAGUUGGUUAGCAUUCGCGAAGCUGAUAACUGAAGCCCUGGUGAACGGCGGCCGUAACGAUAACGGUCCUAAGGUAGCGAAAUUCCUUGUCGGGUAAGUUCCGACCCGCACGAAAGGCGUAAUGAUUUGGAUACUGUCUCGGAGAGGGGCUCGGUGAAAUAGACUUGUCUGUGAAGAUGCGGACUACCUGCACCAGGACAGAAAGACCCUAUGAAGCUUUACUGUAACUUGAGAUUGAAAUUGGACUUUACUUGCGCAGUAUAGGUGGGAGGCGUUGAUAAUAUUCUUGCGGGAUUAUUUGAGCCAUCAGUGAGAUACCACUCUUGUAAUGUUAGAUUUCUAACUUUGUAUCAUUAUCCGGUCAAAGGACAGUUUCAGGCGGGCAGUUUGACUGGGGCGGUCGCCUCCUAAACGGUAACGGAGGCGCACAAAGGUUUCCUCUGAACGGGUAGAAAUCGUAUCUAGAGUGUAAAGGCAUAAGGAAGCUUGACUGUGAGACCUACAAGUCGAGCAGGGACGAAAGUCGGUCUUAGUGAUCUGACGGUGCUGAGUGGAAAGGCCGUCACUCAACGGAUAAAAGUUACUCUAGGAUAACAGGCUGAUCUCCCCCAAGAGUUCACAUCGACGGGGAGGUUUGGCACCUCGAUGUCGGCUCAUCGCAUCCUGGGGCGGUAGUACGUCCCAAGGGUUGGGCUGUUCGCCCAUGAAAGCGGUACGCGAGCUGGGUUCAGAACGUCGUGAGACAGUUCGGUCCAUAUCCGGUGUAGGCGUUAGAAUAUUGAGAGGAGCCUUCUUUAGUACGAGAGGACCGAGAAGGACAUACCUCUGGUGUACCAGUUAUCGUGCCAACAGUAAACGCUGGGUAGCUAUGUAUGGAGUGGAUAACCGCUGAAAGCAUCUAAGUGGGAAGCCCACCUCAAGAUAAGUAUUCUUC